AUUUCCGCGAUUUUAUGCUCUUUCCGGGAAACCUCGUUUCGUUCUAAAUGGUUUUAGCUAAUUCUUGGAGAUUUGCAUCAUAUGAAAUGCAGUUUUUGGAAAAAAAUCGGAGGAAAGUAGGAAAUUGACAACGUUGCAAAAUUUUUAUACGAUAUAUUGGAGAAUGACUUAAUUUUAUAUUUUGGAAUUUUCCCUUGAAAUAAUAUAAACAUGGCCAUUCGAUUGGUUUGGAGCAAGUUAAAAUACGCAGCUAGAGCUUCGAUGAAAUAGUUUUGUUCUACAGUAUUAUACACAGCAAUUGACAUCUAGCCGGUUGAAAGGAUAUUUUGGGCGUCGAUUUUAAAAGGAGGUAUGGUAAUAUCUAAUAAGUCUUUUAGAUAAAGUAUAGAUUUUAACACUAUAUAUAUAUAUAUAUUGAAACAACAUGGUAACUGUGUUGGGUAUAACGCAAUAAGAUCAAUUAAUGCACCUAUCAAUGUUUUCCCCCUGAGGGGGGGGUGCGGGCAACCCACGGGAAUUUUGACAUUUUUCAAAUUUUGUCGUCAAAAUCCCCACUGUUGGGCAAGGAAUGGCUGUCAAAAUUCCCCACUAUAUUCCUAAGAUAACAAGGCACACACAUGUUUUCCAAUGCGAACAUACAGUCUAUACUGGUUCAAACUUGGUAAAAAUUGAGACACUGUGUAUAAAAGGCUAUAAAAUACCUUUUUCGAUGAAACUUGAUCGUGCUUCUCCGCCAUACUUGUUACCAGGCCUUUCAAUGUCAAAACCGCGCAAACUUUCAAGAUGGCGGAUGUCAAAAUUUCCCGACUAUGGGAGUUGAUGCAUAGGUCAAAUUCCCCUCACUAGGGCUUCAUAGUGUGGUCAAAGUCCCCUGGGUCGCCCGCACCCCCCCUCAGGGGGAAAACAAUGAUAGGUGCAUAAUAAGGCAAAGUAGCCAUUGUAUUAUAUAUAAAUGGCCGAAAAUGCUCAUGAUAUUGCAGCCGAAACUGCAACUGUGACUGCUCAUCAAUUAAAUUAAUUGCAAUUGAAUUGUUUAGAGACAUGGAUGAGUAAAAUCAUCUAGCAUUUGAGUUAAAUAACAAAGCAACACUAGUUCAACUUAGCAUGCAUAUUUAACCAUUAAGAUGCAGAGCUUCCCAUUGACGAGUAAAAUCGUCUGGCGUUAGGGACGGACCAUUAUUUUUUUGGAGGGGAGGGGAUGAAAAAUUCUUAAAAAAAAUGUUUGCAAAGACAAAAAAGUGCAAAUAAAUUGUUUGCACACGUAGAAAAGAGGAAAAAAAUAGUUUGCAAGCUAAUGAGAUUAUGCAACAUCAACCAAGGUUAAUGACAAUGAACAGAGUGCUCACCAACAUACCCAGGGUCUUCACUCCAAAGCCCUGGGAUGGGAGACGCUGGACACAUGUUGCAAUCUACAUAUGGGUUAAAUAUUAAUCUGUUUAAUACAGUCAUUUCUUGGGGGGGGGGGUUGUAUUUUUUGGUAUUUUUUGUAUAAAAUAGGUAAUUGGACAAGUACUGGUGUAAGACAUUGUGUAGCGUAAAUAAUGAGAGGACCAGUAUCAGGGCCUUUUUUAACAUACAAGCGGUGGGGGGAUGUCUGCCUUAUGCCCCCCUCACGAAAUCACAUUUUCCUUUUCAUUUCCCUUUUUCCUAAAUUUACACAAACAAACCAGCGAAAAAUAACAAAUUGAUAAACAAAAAGUAAGUUUUAGGCUUUAUCCUUUCUCCUUGUUUAACAAAAUCGAUUUAAAUUGUUACGUUUUUCUACCUGGCACUAAGUAAUGAUGAUAAAUUAUUGUUAAUAAUUUUUUAUUUUUUGUGCGUUUUUUCCUUCUUUUAUUUCAAAUACAAGUAUACUUAGCAUAAAUUUUAGAGCAAAUUUAAAUGCUCAGAAUGCAGGAAAUGGCAUUUCAGGGCUUCAAAUUUCAAAAAUUUUCUGGGGAAAUAUGCCCCCAGACCCUGUGGCUGUCAGCCAUUCCUAUCCUCCUCUAAUAUAUUAUCUCACAGAAAGGUCCCCCCCCCCUCACACGGGAAAAUCUUUAAAAAAGGCCCAGACCAGUAUACCAAAAAAACUAUUAAAUGUCUGUUUACAUAUUAAAUUUAUACUUCUGACAACACCACAUGUUGUUCGAUCACCAGCGCCGUAGCAACCGGGGGCGGGGGGCUGCAGCCCCCACAACAAUUUGCUAAUAAUUAUUCAUUUUUCAAAAUCAUGCAGACCUUUAUCAUUUAAUUCAUGACAAACUGCAAAGAAUGAAGAUAUUACCCAUACUUUCCUGCAACUUAUCCAAUAUAAAGUUAAUUAAAUACGCCUUCGCCCAUUUAGUACUACAGAAUCGUAAAUUUCGCUGUUUUCUGACCAUCAGAAUUCUGUCAAAUCUUCCCCAAAGUCCAGGAAAUGGCAUUUCAGAGACUCUAAAUUUAAAAAUUUCCUCGGGUCUUCGGUCCCCGCUUUCAGCCCCCCCCCCCCAAUCGAAAAGAGCUUCCUACGGCCCUGAUCACACAUGCAAUAGUGUAAUCGGGCACAAAUUAAACUAUAUAUAUCAAUUUAUAAUGAAAUCCACAGCAAUCAGAUGGACAAAAAAAUUGUUUGCAGAAGGAAGCAGGCGCAAAAAAAUUGUUUGCAACGACAACAGCACCAAAAAAAAUUGUUUGCGUUGACGAAAUGUCCUCCCCCCCCUCCAAAAAAAUAAUGGUCCGUCCCUUAGACAAGUGAAAAAAAAGAAGGACGGAUUGCAGCUCAAUGGGUUAAUUAGAGACAUUGUCAGAUUUUUUGGUUAACCCAUUAAGCUGCAGAGCUUCCCCAUUGAUGAGUAAAAUUGUCUGGCGUCAGACAAGUAAAAAAAUAAGUAGGGCGUGUGACUGGGUUAAGAUGUUAUUUACUUGUAAACACUGUCUCUGAUGAUGUUGCAGAUAAUGAAAGCUCAGAAUGGGUUUGCUUCAGUCACAUACUAGUCUGUUGUUUUUUGGUCUAAUUUAGGUUUUUGUAUCGUAUAGCGCCUCAGUCUACCUCAACUGGUUCCAGACAUGGCAACAAAGCCAGAAAACGAGGCAGUAAAAGAUGUGGAAGAUAACUUCGUAAUUUUGACAACAUUUGACAACAUGGCUGACAGUACAAUGUCUAACGCUUCCACUAUUCCUGAAAAACAAACCUUUGAAAGCCAGGAAAAGCUCUCUGAGAGUUCAGAAGUGUCGAUCGAUGAGAAACCGAAGCAUUCUGAUACUUCUAGCAGCUUGGGAGGGGAGCCAAACACCGAUAGUUUCAGCAGUUUGGGAGAUUCAAUGAUAAAUGUUUUGCCUUACUACGAAAGUUC